AGGGAUUUGCAGGCCUUAGUUAUUCAGCCAUGAGCUCUCUGUGGGCGGACUGAAAACAAUCUGAGUGAAUUCUGCCCUGGGCCAGUUCCUCCUCACUUCCCUCUGGUAGAAAUGGAAAGUGCACUCAGACACUCGUCUAAUCUGGCUCCUCAUUGUGCACAUUUGGCUGCCUCUACCCUUGGCUUGUUCGUCUCCUGGGCACAUAGCAGAAUCAAUGGAGAGGAGUGGUCCUCACGGAGGGAUGCUUGUGGAACACCUGCUGGCUAUUCUUUUCUGAGAAUCUUGAAUGUAUACCUGCAUCACACAGAAUAAGAAAACAUAAUUCAAGACCUUAGCAAGAGACUUGGAGCCUUUUGGGAAUGGAAUUACAGUGUCUUGGAAACCAGAAUGUGGCCUAGAAGA